CCUACGGGAGGCAGCAGUGGGGAAUAUUGGGCAAUGGGCGCAAGCCUGACCCAGCAACGCCGCGUGAAGGAAGAAGGCUUUCGGGUUGUAAACUUCUUUUCUGAGGGAAGAAGAAAGUGACGGUACCUCAGGAAUAAGCCACUGCUAACGACGUGCCAGCAGCCGCGGUAAUACGUAGGUGGCAAGCGUUAGCCGGAUUUAUUGGGUGUAAAGGGGGUGUAGGCGGGAAAGCAAGUCAGAUGUGAAAAGUCAGGGCUCAACCCGGGGACUGCAUUUGAAACUGUUUUGCUUGAGUGCUGGAGAGGUAAUCGGAAUUCCGUGUGUAGCGGUGAAAUGCGUAGAUAUACGGAGGAACACCAGUGGCGAAGGCGGAUUGCUGGACAGUAACUGACGCUGAGGCGCGAAAGCGUGGGGAGCAAACAGGAUUAGAUACCCCUGUAGUC
rnacentral:rRNA from 1 species